UACGUAGGGACCGAGCGUUGUCCGGAAUCAUUGGGCGUAAAGAGCGUGUAGGCGGCCACUUAAGUCCUGCGUGAAAUCUUGCGGCUCAACCGCAAGCGGUCGUGGGAAACUGGGUGGCUAGAGUGCGGGAGAGGAGAGUGGAAUUCCCAGUGUAGAGGUGAAAUUCGUAGAUAUUGGGAAGAACACCGGUGGCGAAGGCGGCUCUCUGGACCGUAACUGACGCUGAGGCGCGAAAGCGUGGGGAGCAAACAGG
rnacentral:rRNA from 1 species